rnacentral:sRNA from 1 species
GCGGCCGCACGGCCCCAACACGCGGACUUCGAGCGGUACCGGGAGACCCGCGCGGCCUCCUCGGAGGGGACAGUGAAGCAGCUGGGCUAGGCAGUGGGGCUGGGCCUGCCCUGGGGACCCGUCCACGUCUCCAGGACAUCAGCCUGAGCCUCUUCGCAGCCUCGUUUUCUGUUGACCGAGUUCUGCAAGGGGACGUAGAGGAACCACAGCGUUCUUGCGCUUGAGACCGCUGUGAUUUUCUGACAUUUUGGAGGCAGAUAACAUUGCACAGUUUCAAAAAAACAUUGUGACCCUUGCCAGAAAUGUGGCCUUCGAAGAGGUUGCUGAGGCUGCUGUGGACCAGUUGCUGCAGUCCCAUGAAGAAGAUCUCUCAAAUGAGGAACUGAUGCGGCUGGAACAGGAGCCGGCAGUGGGGGAGGAGGAGAGGGAAGAUGGUCCCUGGGCACUGUGGCAGCUAACCACAGGAAGACUGUCGGCAGCCCUCUCACAUUUUGAGGUUGGCUUGUAGGUCCUUGCUAGUAACAGCCCUAAUGAUGACUGGAAACUGAGAGGUUCCAGAGAAAUCAGUG